GGUCGUGUAGCUCAGUGGCAGAGCGAGGGAUUGCAGAUCCCAAAGUCGGGUUUCGAAUACCCCUGUGUCCU